AUGUUUGUCUUUUCUGUUCUUUUACAGAUCACUAUUGCACACCAAAUGCUCUUACUCAACAGAUGGGGACAGCUACCGUCACCCAAUUUUCUUUCGCACAAGCUGUGCAAAAGUGGCUGCGCUAUGCGCCAGACCGGGCAGGAGGGACUGGACGACAACUUAUGCAGGCAUCAGAUGACAAUGAAGUGUAAAUUAAGAGUAGAGAGGCUAAUAAACAUGAAUUUGAUUUUAAAUAGUGUGGUGUGUUCUGUGUUUUAUACAAGAUUUCAAAUGUUCCAUUACUUUUUAACAUCCUGGCUGUAGAUAAAGCAGGCUAUUUAAUUUAUGGCAUUACAUUUAAAAUUAACAUUUAAAAACGAUUGAAAUUCCAUUGAAAUCACGUUGAUCCUUAGUUCAGUUGAAAUUUCAACAUUGUUUCAAUAUUCCUGAUAAUUGAAAUACCAUUGAAAUUCCAUUGAUUUAUGGACAGAAUUUCAACAUUGUUUCAAUAUUAAAUCAGGGUGCAAAAUGAUGUUGAAUCAACAUCAGAGUUCGAUGUUGAUUCAAUGACUUAAUGUUGACAACGGAAUGUUGAUUCAGCAUAGUUUCAAUGACUGUUUGCUAUCUGGGAAUGCAGUACCAAAACAACCAAUCAAAUAAGAGAAAGAAUGUCACUGCAGGUGUCAAACGACCAAUCAAAUAAGAGAACGAAUGUCACUGCAGGUAUCAAACGACCAAUCAAAUUAAUACAAAAUAACCGCUCCGUUUUCAUUCAGACUCCUCAGAGUUUCUAAAAGUCAUUUUGAACACAAAAUAGACAACAAAUGAAAUCAAAGUAAAUAUUCUGUUUAAAGUAAAAUAUGUGAUUAUACUUGCCGUAAUCUACGAAACGGUACGAAUAAGAUAUUACUUUCCCCCGUUCACCGUUUAACACGGCCCUUGCUUACACGAGGAGGACAGACGAAACCGCGGAACGGAUUACUUCAGGAAUCUCCUCACAAAGACGUUUAUUCGGUUUGUAUUAUUUCUUUCCUUCUUUCUUUCUUUUUUCUUGGCGUUUUUCAAGGAUUUGACUUGGGUAAACUGACUAAGUUCCUCAAGUGGUAGGCCUACGUAUUUAAAGGGGACGUCAGAAGUAAAAUUCACUUUUACAUGGUGUGUGUGGACACAACCACCCUACAACGAUAGAAAUCCAUUCUCUACUUUUUUUUUUUUUUUUGUGUUUUGUUGGUGGUGUCCACCUGAGUUGACGUCACUUUUUUAAUGACGUACGACUCGCAUUUACUGGGGAAUAUCCGAUUUGUCUGCUUACAUGGCACACGCAAAUGCACGUAUCCGAUUCAUAUCCGAUGUAUUACCACAUAUGAAUGAGGCCUGAAUCCGAUCUGAGAAAAUCGGAAUCCAUGCGGUUUUUUCCUGCUUGCACGUUCACCGGUCAUAUCCGAUCUGUGCCACAUUGGAGGAAAAAAUCGGAAUUGGGUCAAUUGAUCCAUGCAGUGUAAAUGGGGCCAUAUAGAGGACUGAGGGGUGCAUCAGGUACAUCUGCUGAGCGGUAUGCAAGAUAAGUUGUUGUCACCUUCCUAACACCAUCACAGAAAACUUUAUCCAAGCCAAACAGGGACGAAACAAGUGACAAAUGCGACACCCUCUCCUGAUAGCCAUAUUGCUCACAUUUGAGUUAAGCCGUUUUGGAGGUAUUUAUGGUAUUUGUUUAAUUUUAUUUAUAUGCCUCAAAAAUAUGCAUAUUUUUGGACAUAUUUACACAACAUUGCUGUAAAUGCAAAACUUCACUUUAAAGAAGACCUUGACAAAACAAGUAUACGCACGUGAUCAUGGCAUCAGGAAUUAAGAGCACAUUGAACAUAAAGAGCAAUAAACAUGAGGUUGAAAUGUAAAAUUGUAGUGAUGUAAGAAAUGUUAGAAGUAUAAGGAUAAAGUGCCAGUGCACAACUGAGGUGGCUCACAGCAGACUAAAUAAUGUUAAUUAAUGUGCAUUUGCACAGCCACAGAGUGUCCUUAGCGCACACUGGGUGGCAGAGUGUGCAUGUAUGCAGACUGACCAUUGUGCAGUUGAGCAAGAGUGUCUACAGUGCACAGCUAAGUUAAAGCAAAUAUUAAACAAACAAACAAAAAAUCUUCUGGAACUUUGGAUUAUUUAUUUUAUUAAAGAAGAUUUUCACUGAAUUAUUGCGGCAAAAUGUAAGAAUGUAAGUGUCCUUGAGCUGUUUUAAUAGGGGAAAACCCCCCAAAACUAAUGAAUGUGUUAUUUUCUUUUCUUUAAGUAGGUGUGCAUUAAAUGAUCUGCCAAGCUUCUGCGGUUGCCAAGCUAUUGGGUUGAAAAAAAAAAAUAACCCAGCGUUUUGUAGAGUGUAUUUUUGAUUUAUUCAUCCCAAAUUUGGCAAAUUCCGUGACAUUAAUAUAUAUGUAUUUAUAUAUACAGUAAAUUCCAUUCUUUUGGAAUGUUUUCUGGAUCAGUUGAUGGAAUUGUCUGAAGAUAUCAGAUAUUAUUAAGUCAGAUGUAGCUUUGUGAAUGUGAGCAUUUAGGAUUCAGUGUUAUUUAAGUAUCAUUUGUAUACUAUUUUAUUAAUUAAUAUUUUGAAAUGGCUUUUAUUUUUAUAUUUUCAGUUUUGAUUUUAGUUUAGGCUUUCUUAAUUUUAUUAUGUGCUAAUGUAAUUGUUAUUUUUUUGUUAAAAUAUUUCUAUUAACUUAUUUUUUUAUUCAGUUUGAGUCAUUUUAGUACUUCAACUUAUUUUAUUUCUGUUUAGUAAUUUUAUGUGCUUUUUAAUUGUAUUAUUUCUAUUUAGUUUUUGUUUGUUUUAGUUUUAGUAAUUUUAGUACUUAAACUUUUCAAAUCAGUUGAAGUUUGGUUUGAUAAUAGUAACUGUAUUUUAAUAGUACUCUUGGUGUGCAUCUCAAGCAAUCAGAUGUUGAGUGGGGGAAAUAGAGAAUAACGAAUUAAUGAAAUCAAGUUAUGGAACUAUUGUUGAACGAUUCAAACCGUUUAUAGAGCACUGCUGACACCUAGUGGACAUGUUAUAUAUCAGCUUGAUGCCAGUAAAUAUUUAUUAAUGUGCAUAUGCACAGGUAUAAAGUAGCCAUAGCUGUACAUUAGGAAGGGCAUGCAAUUGCUUUGCAAAGAAGAUCUAAAAGGCCCUUUAAAGAAGCACUUUUAGCCAUAACAGUAAAAUAAAGGAAAACAUUCCUAUAUGCCUGCAAAACCACAUUAAAGUAUGGGGAUGCAGUAAAUGGCAAUAAUUAGAAUCCAAAAAUCUGCUAAAUUAGUCAUCUACAAUCUUAUAAUUUCCAUUGCAUUUUGAAUGUUAAUCAAAACAGUACAAAUAAAUUAAGUUUAUUUUCCAGCUAAUUAUGGUAAGUAUAGUGUAUUUUUUUUUUUUUUAGAAUUCAAAGAGAAAAUGAGCGUAUAUAUAAUUUUAUGGAGGCUAAAAACUGCGACAUUAAACAUUGAGCUGGUUUGAUGUACACAUUCAGUGUGAAGUGCAGAUUAGAUCAUUUCUGCUGUUGCGAGGCUGUGGGCGGCUGGGAGACAGACAUGAAAGGGUUGUCAUAUGAAAGGAAAGCAGACAUGAACUUCCUGUGAACUUGUCUCAUUUCUGAGUAUGCUGAGAGAUCAGCUCUACAACCAUAGCAGCUACUAAGACAAGGUUCAUUUUUCUUUUUUCUUUUUUGGCUAAGUAGGCAGAGUGACCCUAUUAGGUCCAUGUGCUAUAUAAGCCCACUGUUUUGUUGUUUUGCAAUAUAGACAAAAAGUAUGAUAUAUACAUAUUUUUUCUCUCGCCAUGCCAUAUUGUCUCUACAGGAAGUAAAAGUUUUAAGAGCAUAGAAAAGUUCAAUGAGUUCUUGGUUUAGUGGGC
ensembl:lncRNA